GACGAAGGAUGCAAGCGUUAUCCGGAUUCAUUGGGUUUAAAGGGAGCGUAGGCGGUCUUAUAAGUCAGUGGUGAAAUCUCCUCGCUUAACGAGGAAACUGCCAUUGAUACUGUAGGACUUGAGUAUAGUUGCUGUGGGCGGAAUAUGACAUGUAGUGGUGAAAUACUUAGAGAUGUCAUAGAACACCGAUUGCGAAGGCAGCUCACAAAACUAUAACUGACGCUGAGGCUCGAAAGUGCGGGGAUCAAACAGG
rnacentral:rRNA from 1 species